rnacentral:rRNA from 1 species
ACAAUGGCAAGGAGGUCACACCUGUUCCCAUGCCGAACACAGAAGUUAAGCUCCUUAGCGCCGAUGGUAGUCGGGCUUACGUCCCGCUAGAGUAGGACGUUGCCAGGC